rnacentral:pre_miRNA from 2 species
UUGGACCGUCGGAUCCGGUGGCUAUGGGCUUGAAGCCACCAGAUCCGACAACCUUGAGCCCGUGGUUGCUGGAUCUAGCAGCUCUGA